rnacentral:rRNA from 1 species
UACGAAGGGGGGCUAGCGUUGCUCGGAAUGACUGGGCGUAAAGGGCGCGUAGGCGGUUUGUACAGUCAGAUGUGAAAUUCCUGGGCUCAACCUGGGGGCUGCAUUUGAUACGUGCGGACUUGAGUGAGGAAGAGGGUCGUGGAAUUCCCAGUGUAGAGGUGAAAUUCGUAGAUAUUGGGAAGAACACCGGUGGCGAAGGCGGCGACCUGGUCCUUGACUGACGCUGAGGCGCGAAAGCGUGGGGAGCAAACAGG